rnacentral:lncRNA from 1 species
GUUGUUCAUGGUCAUGUCCGGCACCCCGGGGCCCCUGCACCGUCAGCCCUUCCAGCAGCGUGGGGGCAGCUCCUGCGGCUCCUGGUUCCCGUGACCCCGCUGCACGCCCCCGCCAGGCCCCGCUCCCCCAGCCGCCUCGCCCGGGUUCCGGGGACCCACCUGGCACCACCCGCCCCCGGGUGCAGGCCGAGCGCGUCCACGCGUGCAGCAUCCUCGCUUUCACGCGCCUGGCCCUGUGGAGGGCGGCUUGAGGACGCGAAGUCGACAAAGGGCCACAGGCGGCCAGCGAGAGGAGCCUGGGAGCGAGGCCUCGGUCACCCGAGUCGCGGCCAGCCCUGGGGGCGGGGCGGGCCGUGGGCUCGGCCUGGGAUUGGGCAGCUGGCCGGAAGGGGCGGGACUUCCGGGGGGCGCCAAAUUGCCGAGAGCUGGCGCUGCGGCCGCGGACAUGCUGCCGGCCGGCUGCUCCCAGCGCCUGGUGGCCGAGCUACAGGGCGCCCUGGACGCUUGCGCAGAGAGACAGAAGCAGCAGGAGCGGAGCCUCGGAGUCUGCCGGCGGCUGCUGCAGGCCUGGGAACCAGCGAGGACCUGGGCUCCAGAUCCACCUCCGGGGCCAGAAACUACCGAAGAGGACCUGACCCCAGGUACACCGGGCCGCCCGCCUUCACGGGCUGCCCCUGGCAUGUGCUCAGGGGCCUCUCCUGGGGGCCGGCGGAGAGGGAGCCUUGCAUGACUCUUGGCUUUCGCAGCGCGCACCCCCAGCCCCCAGGACCUCAAAGGAGCUAGGAGCUCUUGACGCAGGCGCUGGAGAAGGCUGCACGCGUGCGAAGAAGUGUCUGCAGGGCCGGAGGAAGAGGCGAGGCCGCCGGCCUGACGCCCGGCUCUGCUGCCGCCUCCGCUGGCACCGCGGCGCCAGGGUCCGGCCAAGGUGGCCCAGGGCCCGCCAAGGGCAUCCGCCAGGCCAGGACGCCUGCCACGGACCACCCGGAGCUCAGGCCUCUGCCAGGCAGGGACAGGGCCGGUGUGGGGACAAGAGCCCGAGCCACCGAGCCUGGACGCAGCCUCAGAGACCAGCGAGUGGCCCCAUCGCCUGCCCCUCAGGCCCCGGGAGCCUUCACGCUGAAGGAGCAGGGGUAGGUUUCCCAGCCCCUCGCUGGAGGAAUGGCCGCGUUUGCCGGCUCCGAUCCCGGCCGGCCGCAGGAGGCUGAGGACCGGUGAGAGAGCAGCGCACUGAGCAGGACGCGGGCCCGGGGAGCCCUCGGCAGCGCCUGGUCAAGUGUGGGCUCAGGAGCUGCUGGCUGGACUUGACCUGCGGGAGGCUGGCCUCCUGCCCCGCCCCCAGGCCGGCCCAGGGGUCCUGGGGGCCCUGUCCCUGUCCCCAGGCCAUGCUGGGCUGAAGCCCGGUCCAGAGCCUGUGGAAGCGCGGGGGUGGGGGAGGCCUCGUGCUGACGGGGCUCUGAGCGGCGAGCCGGGCCACCCCGAACCCCCGCUUCUCUGCAGGAGGCUGCUGCGGCUGCCCGCGGCCCUCAGGAAGGCGGCGUCCCAGAACCAGCGGUGAGACGGUGGGGGCAGAGGGGAGGCCACGGGUGUGCCAGCAGCCUGGGGCCGCGCGGGCAAGGGUUUCCCCGGGGCCCUGCUGGUCUGCUGUGCGGGUCACUGUUCAGAGGUCACUUUCAGUCCC